rnacentral:lncRNA from 1 species
CAUUAACAACUUUUUGCAUAGUAACGCUAAGAGAAAUGAGGUUUGGGAUGAGAUAUAUGAAUGUGGUUGAAGAUUGAUCGAAAAAAUGGAAGCUUGCCGGAAAUUCUUUUUUGGGUUGACAUCUAUUGACGUUGGGAAGUAUUUUUAGAAGCAGCCUUUGAUUUUCUCUUCCUUGCUGAAUAGCUACCAACUCCCACCGAGCCCAC